CAAAGGGGUUACCGGUGGCGGAUGGGCAUGCGGCGCAUUAGCUAGUCGGCGGGGUAACGGCCCACCGAGGCGACGAUGCGUAGGGGUUCUGAGAGGAAGGUCCCCCACACUGGUACUGAGACACGGACCAGACUCCUACGGGAGGCAGCAGUGAGGAAUAUUGGUCAAUGGGCGCGAGCCUGAACCAGCCAAGUCGCGUGAGGGAUGACGGUCCUACGGAUUGUAAACCUCUUUUGCCGGGGAGCAAGCGUGCGUUCGUGAACGCGCGUCGAGAGUACCCGGAGAAAAAGCAUCGGCUAACUCCGUGCCAGCAGCCGCGGUAAUACGGAGGAUGCGAGCGUUAUCCGGAUUUAUUGGGUUUAAAGGGUGCGUAGGCGGGAUGCCAAGUCAGCGGUAAAAAUGCGGUGCUCAACGCCGUCGAGCCGUUGAAACUGGCGUUCUUGAGUGGGCGAGAAGUAUGCGGAAUGCGUGGUGUAGCGGUGAAAUGCAUAGAUAUCACGCAGAACUCCGAUUGCGAAGGCAGCAUACCGGCGCCCUACUGACGCUGAGGCACGAAAGCGUGGGUAUCGAACAGGAUUAGAUACCCUGGUAGUCCACGCAGU
rnacentral:rRNA from 1 species